rnacentral:rRNA from 1 species
UGGCGAACGGGUGAGUAACACGUGAGUAACCUGCCCACAACUUUUGGAUAACGCUAGGAAACUGGUGCUAAUACUGGAUAUGUGCUCCUGCUGCAUGGUGGGGGUUGGAAAGCUCCGGCGGUUGUGGAUGGACUCGCGGCCUAUCAGCUUGUUGGUGGGGUAGUGGCCUACCAAGGCGGCGACGGGUAGCCGGCCUGAGAGGGUGACCGGCCACAUUGGGACUGAGAUACGGCCCAG